rnacentral:rRNA from 1 species
CCAGACCGCCAGCUAAGGUCCCAAAGUCAUGGUUAAGUGGGAAACGAUGUGGGAAGGCCCAGACAGCCAGGAUGUUGGCUUAGAAGCAGCCAUCAUUUAAAGAAAGCGUAAUAGCUCACUGGUCGAGUCGGCCUGCGCGGAAGAUGUAACGGGGCUAAACCAUGCACCGAAGCUGCGGCAGCGACGCUGAUGCGUUGUUGGGUAGGGGAGCGUUCUGUAAGCCUGCGAAGGUGUGCUGUGAGGCAUGCUGGAGGUAUCAGAAGUGCGAAUGCUGACAUAAGUAACGAUAAAGCGGGUGAAAAGCCCGCUCGCCGGAAGACCAAGGGUUCCUGUCCAACGUUAAUCGGGGCAGGGUGAGUCGACCCCUAAGGCGAGGCCGAAAGGCGUAGUCGAUGGGAAACAGGUUAAUAUUCCUGUACUUGGUGUUACUGCGAAGGGGGGACGGAGAAGGCUAUGUUGGCCGGGCGACGGUUGUCCCGGUUUAAGCGUGUAGGCUGGUUUUCCAGGCAAAUCCGGAAAAUCAAGGCUGAGGCGUGAUGACGAGGCACUACGGUGCUGAAGCAACAAAUGCCCUGCUUCCAGGAAAAGCCUCUAAGCAUCAGGUAACAUCAAAUCGUACCCCAAACCGACACAGGUGGUCAGGUAGAGAAUACCAAGGCGCUUGAGAGAACUCGGGUGAAGGAACUAGGCAAAAUGGUGCCGUAACUUCGGGAGAAGGCACGCUGAUAUGUAGGUGAAGUCCCUUGCGGAUGGAGCUGAAAUCAGUCGAAGAUACCAGCUGGCUGCAACUGUUUAUUAAAAACACAGCACUGUGCAAACACGAAAGUGGACGUAUACGGUGUGACGCCUGCCCGGUGCCGGAAGGUUAAUUGAUGGGGUUAGCCGCAAGGCGAAGCUCUUGAUCGAAGCCCCGGUAAACGGCGGCCGUAACUAUAACGGUCCUAAGGUAGCGAAAUUCCUUGUCGGGUAAGUUCCGACCUGCACGAAUGGCGUAAUGAUGGCCAGGCUGUCUCCACCCGAGACUCAGUGAAAUUGAACUCGCUGUGAAGAUGCAGUGUACCCGCGGCAAGACGGAAAGACCCCGUGAACCUUUACUAUAGCUUGACACUGAACAUUGAGCCUUGAUGUGUAGGAUAGGUGGGAGGCUUUGAAGUGUGGACGCCAGUCUGCAUGGAGCCGACCUUGAAAUACCACCCUUUAAUGUUUGAUGUUCUAACGUUGACCCGUAAUCCGGGUUGCGGACAGUGUCUGGUGGGUAGUUUGACUGGGGCGGUCUCCUCCUAAAGAGUAACGGAGGAGCACGAAGGUUGGCUAAUCCUGGUCGGACAUCAGGAGGUUAGUGCAAUGGCAUAAGCCAGCUUGACUGCGAGCGUGACGGCGCGAGCAGGUGCGAAAGCAGGUCAUAGUGAUCCGGUGGUUCUGAAUGGAAGGGCCAUCGCUCAACGGAUAAAAGGUACUCCGGGGAUAACAGGCUGAUACCGCCCAAGAGUUCAUAUCGACGGCGGUGUUUGGCACCUCGAUGUCGGCUCAUCACAUCCUGGGGCUGAAGUAGGUCCCAAGGGUAUGGCUGUUCGCCAUUUAAAGUGGUACGCGAGCUGGGUUUAGAACGUCGUGAGACAGUUCGGUCCCUAUCUGCCGUGGGCGCUGGAGAACUGAGGGGGGCUGCUCCUAGUACGAGAGGACCGGAGUGGACGCAUCACUGGUGUUCGGGUUGUCAUGCCAAUGGCACUGCCCGGUAGCUAAAUGCGGAAGAGAUAAGUGCUGAAAGCAUCUAAGCACGAAACUUGC